rnacentral:rRNA from 1 species
CCUACGGGAGGCAGCAGUGAGGAAUAUUGGUCAAUGGACGCAACUCUGACCCAGCCAUGCCGCGUGCAGGAAGACGGCUCUAUGAGUUUUAAACUGCUUUUGUACGAGGGUAAACGCAGAUACGCGUAUCUGUCUGAAAGUAUCGUACGAAUAAGGAUCGGCUAACUCCGUGCCAGCAGCCGCGGGAAUACGGAGGAUUCAAGCGUUAUCCGGAUUUAUUGGGUUGAAAGGGUGCGUAGGCGGUCGGAUAAGUUAGAGGUGAAAUCCCGAGGCUCACAUUCGGAAGUGCCUCUGAUACUGUUCGGCUAGAGAGUAGUUGCGGUAGGCGGAACGUGUGGUGUAGCGGUGAAAUGCAUAGAUAUAACGCAGAACUCCGAUUGCGAAGGCAGCAUACCGGCGCCCAACUGACGCUCAGGCACGAAAGCGUGGGUAUCGAACAGGAUUAGAUACCCCUGUAGUC